rnacentral:rRNA from 1 species
AUCCAGACUCCUACGGGAGGCAGCAGUGGGGAAUAUUGCACAAUGGGGGAAACCCUGAUGCAGCGACGCCGCGUGAGUGAAGAAGUAUUUCGGUAUGUAAAGCUCUAUCAGCAGGGAAGAAAAUGACGGUACCUGAUUAAGAAGCCCCGGCUAACUACGUGCCAGCAGCCGCGGUAAUACGUAGGGGGCAAGCGUUAUCCGGAUUUACUGGGUGUAAAGGGAGCGUAGACGGUGAUGCAAGUCAGAAGUGAAAGCCCGGGGCUCAACUCCGGGACUGCUUUUGAAACUGUGUGACUGGAGUGCAGGAGAGGUAAGCGGAAUUCCUGGUGUAGCGGUGAAAUGCGUAGAUAUCAGGAGGAACACCGGCGGCGAAGGCGGCCUGCUGGACCGCGACUGACGUUGAGGCUCGAAAGCGUGGGGAGCGAACAGGAUUAGAUACCCCAGUAUG